AACAUAAUAUUAUUAUAUUAUCUUAGAUUAGAUAUUUAUCCAUCAAAUAUCAAUCAACAUUAUUGGUUUGAUGAUAGAUCUUACUAUCCAACCAACUAUCCACUCAACUUGGCCUAGAGAACUACUAUUAUACUCGGAGAUCACUAUCAUGCUAACCGCACACACUACAACAAAAGCGGUCUAUAGCGACACUUUUAAAUGUAGGUUCAUAUCAAAAAAGUGCUGCUAGCUAAAAUUACCGACACUUUUAAAAAGUGUUGCUAUAUGUGGGGUCGCUAGGUAUAUAGUGACAGUUAAAAAGUGUCACUAUAACCUAAAAGAGUGCUGCUAAUUUACCAACACUUAUUUAAGUAUUUAGCAACCGCUGAAACUCUAUUUUGUUGGCUGCGGUGGCGGAGGAGGACGACAGGAAAGGCUCUUCGUCUAGAAUUUCAGUGGAUUGAGUGAGGAGAGAAGAAAAGAUGGUAAUUGAUUUUUCUUUUUUUUUCUUUUCUGUUUGUAAUCGAGUCAAAUGGACUGGGUGUGGUGGGUUGAGUAGAGUAAUCUUUUAUUUUUGGUUGGAUUGGGCUUUAUAUUUAGACAUAAGUAGAUGUUUUUUUAAGUUUUAGCAUAAAUGGGACACUUACUCAAAAGUGUCCCAAACAAGUGUCCCUAUAACCUAAUUCUGUUGUAGUGACAUCUCUUCAUCUAACGGUCAAAAAUUUAUGAAUACAAAAAGGGUCUACACUCAUAAGGUAUCGUUUGGUUCGGAGAUAAGCAAAAAGUGACUAUUCCAGGAAUAGAUAUAAAUUGAGGUAUAAAUGGGGAUUAGAACAAUUUUGCGUUUAGAUGAAAAUUGAAUUAUUCUUGAUAAUAAAAAAAAUAACGUUUGAUUAGGUAAGAUGGAAUAAGAAUUAAAGUAGAUAGUUAUAAAUAAAAAAUAAUGGUAUUAUGCCUUUCUU
rnacentral:lncRNA from 1 species